UACGAAGGGGGCUAGCGUUGUUCGGAAUUACUGGGCGUAAAGGGCGCGCAGGCGGCCCUCCAAGUCAGGCGUGAAAGCCCCGGGCUCAACCCGGGAAUAGCGCUUGAGACUGGGGGGCUUGAGUUCGGGAGAGGAGAGUGGAAUUCCCAGUGUAGAGGUGAAAUUCGUAGAUAUUGGGAAGGACACCGGUGGCGAAGGCGGCUCUCUGGACCGACACUGACGCUGAGGCGCGAAAGCGUGGGGAGCAAACAGG
rnacentral:rRNA from 1 species